ACUUGUCCUGGAUGAGUAAGACCGGAAUGACGUGGAACCUUCUUUCCUGUGGUGGCUGCUGAGUUCUCAGAACUGUGGGCAAGAUUCCAAGAUAUGAGCAAGGAUAAAGCUCUACUCAGCAGGGUAGAGAAGAGAACAAGGUACAGGAGCCAUUAAUGCCAUAAUAGCAGUCAGAACCAUCUUUU
rnacentral:lncRNA from 1 species